UGCCAAUCUAUCUUUGUAUGUUUCAAUGUGUCACAGGCCAAGAUAUAGACACAUCCUAUACACCUCCAGAUCCAUCCCAUAUAUUCUGUAAGGUUGUCUGGAGAUACUUUGAUGUUUUCCAACAGCAACAUCAUGAAGAAUGCCUCAUCAAGACUAAUUCCUGUUCUGGAAUGCUAUAUAAUACAUGAACUAAAUUAAUGUAUAUUGAUCAUGUUUAAGUAGAAAGAAAUUUAACAAGAUAGCAUGCCAAUCAAAUAUUACAAAAUAUUUUGUACCAACCCAUUUCUUAAUUCAAAAUAAUCUGAGGUGCCUUGAGGACAAACAAAAAUUCAAACUACCCAAACAGAGCUUCUUCACAAGAGUCAGGUAACCUAAAAGUUAUUCAAGAAUUAUUUCUUUAGGUUUUACAUCCAAAUGUUAUAUUCAAUCUCAGGGCGUUUGUCCAUGAUUUCCCUUCAUCUGGAAUUCUCUUCUUGCAAUCUCUUUCAAAACAUAGUUUAGAUGAUAUUUCUGUGAACUCUUUGGUGAACUUACUCAACCUUCCCUUUAUAAAUAAUUACUCCCUC
rnacentral:lncRNA from 1 species